UGAGUAAUAUAUCGGAACGUACCCUGGAGUGGGGGAUAACGUAGCGAAAGUUACGCUAAUACCGCAUACGAUCUAAGGAUGAAAGUGGGGGAUCGCAAGACCUCAUGCUCGUGGAGCGGCCGAUAUCUGAUUAGCUAGUUGGUAGGGUAAAAGCCUACCAAGGCAUCGAUCAGUAGCUGGUCUGAGAGGACGACCAGCCACACUGGAACUGAGACACGGUCCAGACUCCUACGGGAGGCAGCAGUGGGGAAUUUUGGACAAUGGGCGAAAGCCUGAUCCAGCAAUGCCGCGUGAGUGAAGAAGGCCUUCGGGUUGUAAAGCUCUUUUGUCAGGGAAGAAACGGUGAGAGCUAAUAUCUUUUGCUAAUGACGGUACCUGAAGAAUAAGCACCGGCUAACUACGUGCCAGCAGCCGCGGUAAUACGUAGGGUGCAAGCGUUAAUCGGAAUUACUGGGCGUAAAGCGUGCGCAGGCGGUUUUGUAAGUCUGAUGUGAAAUCCCCGGGCUCAACCUGGGAAUUGCAUUGGAGACUGCAAGGCUAGAAUCUGGCAGAGGGGGGGUAGAAUUCCACGUGUAGCAGUGAAAUGCGUAGAUAUGUGGAGGAACACCGAUGGCGAAGGCAGCCCCCUGGGUCAAGAUUGACGCUCAUGCACGAAAGCGUGGGGAGCAAACAGGAUUAGAUACCCUGGUAGUCCACGCCCUAAACGAUGUCUACUAGUUGUCGGGUCUUAAUUGACUUGGUAACGCAGCUAACGCGUGAAGUAGACCGCCUGGGGAGUACGGUCGCAAGAUUAAAACUCAAAGGAAUUGACGGGGACCCGCACAAGCGGUGGAUGAUGUGGAUUAAUUCGAUGCAACGCGAAAAACCUUACCUACCCUUGACAUGGCUGGAAUCCCCGAGAGAUUGGGGAGUGCUCGAAAGAGAACCAGUACACAGGUGCUGCAUGGCUGUCGUCAGCUCGUGUCGUGAGAUGUUGGGUUAAGUCCCGCAACGAGCGCAACCCUUGUCAUUAGUUGCUACGAAAGGGCACUCUAAUGAGACUGCCGGUGACAAACCGGAGGAAGGUGGGGAUGACGUCAAGUCCUCAUGGCCCUUAUGGGUAGGGCUUCACACGUCAUACAAUGGUACAUACAGAGCGCCGCCAACCCGCGAGGGGGAGCUAAUCGCAGAAAGUGUAUCGUAGUCCGGAUUGUAGUCUGCAACUCGACUGCAUGAAGUUGGAAUCGCUAGUAAUCGCGGAUCAGCAUGUCGCGGUGAAUACGUUCCCGGGUCUUGUACACACCGCCCGUCACACCAUGGG
rnacentral:rRNA from 1 species